GUCGGUGCGCCUCCGUUUCCUCGGCCUCCAAGGACCCGGGCGCCGGAUUUGUUCUCGCCUGACCAGCCUCGGUAUCCAGCUCCCUACAGCCACCGCCGGCGUUGACUCCCAAGGCGAGGAUGACGAUGACGCCAAAGAUGACGAGGCCCCGAGCUCGAGCACGACCACUACGAUGCACUGCACAAAGGCCCCUGCUUCCUGCCUGCCCUUCCCUUUGCUUGGAAGAUAGCUCUCUCCAGAUGUUGUUCCUGUCCUUCUCCUUGGUUGUUGAGCGCUACAC